rnacentral:rRNA from 1 species
CGCGAAUAGCUCAUUACAACAGCCGUUGUUUCUUGGAUCUCUUCUCUACUUGGAUAACUGUGGUAAUUCUAGAGCUAAUACAUGCAAUCAAGCCCCGAAUUAUAAAGGGCGCAUUUAUUAGAACAAGACCAUCCGGCCUCUGGCCGUGUUUUGGUGACUCUGAAUAACUGAGCAGAUCGCACGGGCUCGUCCCGGCGACAAAUCUUUCAAGUGUCUGCCUUAUCAGGUUUCGUUGGCGGUUUAUGUGACCGCCAAGCCUGUAACGGGUAACGGAGGAUCAGGGUCUGACUCCGGAGAGGGAGCCUGAGAAACGACUACCACAUCCAAGGAAGGCAGCAGGCGCGCAAAUUACCCACUCUCAGAACGAGGAGGUAGUGACGAAAAAUAACGAGACAGUUCUCUAUGAGGUCUGUCAUCGGAAUGGGUACAAUUUAAACCCUUUAACGAGGAUCUAUUGGAGGGCAAGUCUGGUGCCAGCAGCCGCGGUAAUUCCAGCUCCAAUAGCGUAUAUUAAAGUUGUUGCGGCUAAAAAGCUCGUAGUUGGAUCUGCGGUCGUAGACUCUGGUUCCCUCCUAGGGAUACUAGCUGUCUCGACCUACCUUGUUAGAUUUCCCUUGGUGCUCUUUACUGAGUGCCUUGGGUGUCUAGCUCGUUUACUUUGAAAAAAUUAGAGUGCUUAAAGCAGGCAUUUGCCUGAAUAGUGGUGCAUGGAAUAAUGGAAUAGGACCUCGGUUCUAUUUUGUUGGUUUUCGGAGCAUGAGGUAAUGAUUAAGAGGGACAGACGGGGGCAUUCGUACUGCUACGUUAGAGGUGAAAUUCUUGGAUCGUAGCAUGACGAACAACUGCGAAAGCAUUUGCCAAGAAUGUUUUCAUUAAUCAAGAACGAUAGUUAGAGGUUCGAAGGCGAUCAGAUACCGCCC